UACGGGGGGGGGCAAGCGUUGUUCGGAAUUACUGGGCGUAAAGGGCUCGUAGGCGGCCAACUAAGUCGGACGUGAAAUCCCUCGGCUUAACCGGGGAACUGCGUCCGAUACUGGAUGGCUUGAGUUUGGGAGAGGGAUGCGGAAUUCCAGGUGUAGCGGUGAAAUGCGUAGAUAUCUGGAGGAACACCGGUGGCGAAGGCGGCAUCCUGGACCAAUACUGACGCUGAGGAGCGAAAGCCAGGGGAGCAAACGGG
rnacentral:rRNA from 1 species